GGUUUGUGAGAAGGUUGGAGUUGCCCACCGGUUGGGGUAUGACGGUUUCCUGUCAUACUACAGCGGCGCGAAGCUCCGUACUUACACACGAGCU
rfam:Artichoke Mottled Crinkle Virus complete genome